UUGAACGCUGGCGGCAUGCCUUACACAUGCAAGUCGAACGGUAAUGCGGGGCAAUCUGGCGACGAGUGGCGAACGGGUGAGUAAUGCAUCGGAACGUGUUUAGUAGUGGGGGAUAGUCCGGCGAAAGCCGGAUUAAUACCGCAUACGACCUACGGGUGAAAGCGGGGGACCGUAAGGCCUCGCGCUAUUGGAGCGGCCGAUGUCAGAUUAGGUAGUUGGUGGGGUAAAGGCCUACCAAGCCUACGAUCUGUAGCUGGUCUGAGAGGACGACCAGCCACACUGGGACUGAGACACGGCCCAGACUUUUACGGGAGGCAGCAGUGGGGAAUUUUGGACAAUGGGCGCAAGCCUGAUCCAGCCAUGCCGCGUGCGGGAAGAAGGCCUUCGGGUUGUAAACCGCUUUUGUCAGGGAAGAAACGCCUUGAGAUAAUACCUCGGGGUAGUGACGGUACCUGAAGAAUAAGCACCGGCUAACUACGU
rnacentral:rRNA from 1 species